UUGAACGCUGGCGGCAGGCCUAAUACAUGCAAGUCGAACGGUAACAUAAGAAAAGCUUGCUUUUCUUGAUGACGAGUGGCGGACGGGUGAGUAAGAUUUGGGAAACUACCUGAUAGAGGGGGACAACAGUUGGAAACGACUGCUAAUACCGCAUACAGCCUUAGGGUGAAAGAAGCGAUUCGCUAUCAGAUGUGCCCAAACGGGAUUAGCUAGUAGGUGAGGUAAAGGCUCACCUAGGCGACGAUCUCUAGCUGGUCUGAGAGGAUGAUCAGCCACAUUGGGACUGAGACACGGCCCAGACUCCUACGGGAGGCAGCAGUAGGGAAUAUUGCACAAUGGAGGAAACUCUGAUGCAGCCAUGCCGCGUGUGUGAAGAAGGCCUUCGGGUUGUAAAGCACUUUCGGAGGGGAGGAAAAAAAUGACGUUACCCUCAGAAGAAGAGAGUAUUGGCAGGGGGAGACGGAAUUCCAGGUGUAGCGGUGGAAUGCGUAGAUAUCUGGAAGAACACCAAAGGCGAAGGCAGUCUCCUGGGCAAAUACUGACGCUCAUAUGCGAAAGCGUGGGUAGCAAACAGGAUUAGAUACCCUGGUAGUCCACGCCGUAAACGAUGUCAAUUAGGAGCUUGGGCAAAAGUCUGGGUUCCGCAGCUAACGCAAUAAAUUGACCGCCUGGGGAGUACGGCCGCAAGGUUAAAACUCAAAUGAAUUGACGGGGGCCCGCACAAGCGGUGGAGCAUGUGGUUUAAUUCGACGCAACGCGAAGAACCUUACCUGAUCUUGACAUCGUAAGAACCUCACUGAAGGGUGAGGGUGCCUUCGGGAACUUACAGACAGGUGCUGCAUGGCUGUAGUCAGCUCGUGUCGUGAGAUGUUGGGUUAAGUCCCGCAACGAGCGCAACCCUUGUCCUUUGUUGCCAGCGGGUAAAGCCGGGAACUCAAAGGAGACUGCCAGUGACAAACUGGAGGAAGGCAGGGAUGACGUCAAGUCAUCAUGGCCCUUACGGUCAGGGCUACACACGUGCUACAAUGGGGCGUACAGAGGGAAACGAUACCGUGAGGUGGAGUGGAACCCAAAAAGCGUCCCUAAGUUCGGAUUGGAGUCUGCAACUCGACUCCAUGAAGUCGGAAUCGCUAGUAAUCGCAAAUCAGAAUGUUGCGGUGAAUACGUUCCCGGGCCUUGUUACACACCGUCCCGUCACACCAUGGGAGUGGAUUGUCACCAGAAGUAGUCUAGUCUUAACUUUAUUGAGGGCGGUUACCCACCGGUGUG
rnacentral:rRNA from 1 species